AUACGGGAGGCAGCAGUGGGGAAUAUUGGACAAUGGGCGCAAGCCUGAUCCAGCAAUACCGCGUGUGUGAAGAAGGCCUGAGGGUUGUAAAGCACUUUCAGCGAGGAGGAAGGGUGCGAUGUUAAUAGCAUUGUAUUUUGACGUUACUCGCAGAAGAAGCACCGGCUAACUCUGUGCCAGCAGCCGCGGUAAUACAGAGGGUGCAAGCGUUAAUCGGAAUUACUGGGCGUAAAGCGUGCGCAGGCGGAUAAUUAAGUCAGAUGUGAAAGCCCCGGGCUCAACCUGGGAAUGGCAUCUGAAACUGGUCAUCUAGAGUAUGGUAGAGGAUAGUGGAAUUUCCGGUGUAGCGGUGAAAUGCGUAGAUAUCGGAAGGAACACCAGUGGCGAAGGCGACUAUCUGGGCCAAUACUGACGCUGAGGUACGAAAGCGUGGGUAGCGAACAGGAUUAGAAACCCUUGUAGUCC
rnacentral:rRNA from 1 species